CUGAAGUGAUCUGCCCACCUCGGCUUCCCAAAGUGCUGGGACUGCAGGUGUGAGCCACUGCGCCUGGCCCCUUCAGGUGGGUUUUGAGGCUUCACGUUGCUGCUGCAAUAAAUUACCACACACUUAGUGGCUUAAAACAGCACAGAGGUAUUCCCUUACAUUUCUGAAGGCCAGAAUUCUAAAAUCAGUCCCACUGAGUCAAGGUGGGAGCAGGGUCAGUGCCUUCCCAGGCUCUGCGGGAGAAUCUGUUUCCUGGCCCUGGAGGCGGCCUGUACUCCUUAGCUUGUGCUGCCCUUCUGGAAUGACUCGAGUUUCCUGCUUUCAUCACUACACCUCCCACCGCUCUCCAUCACCUGCUGUGCUCUUACGAGGAUCCAGCUGAGACAUGUUUUAGGAAGUUUGCUAAAAGACCCCUGGAGACGUCCUCAUUGUGGCCUCCCUGCUGUUGUGUUUAAUUUGGUUGAUCUUCUCUGCCCUCCUGCUUUUCAGAAUUAAAAGGCUAAAAAGAGUUUUCAGAGAAAUGGAAUAAUUGUAUUGCUGAUCUACGUAAACAAGUUGAAGAAUUGUCUGAAAGAAAAUAUGGUGUGUCUGAACUGGAAAAGUCCUGUGAUAGUUUGUUCAUGAGCAUUUACACAAUGGAGUUACUGUUCAUCAUGGGGGUACUGUGGACAAGCCCAGGGCUGCUGACAUAAUCUUAUGAAUUCAACACAUGAAGAUUUACAACUUGAUAAACCAGCUUCAGGAGAUCAGAACUUCUUACAAUACAACUGAUGUUACUCAGCCUAGAACAAAUACAACAGGGAUUGUGCUGCAUUCUGACUUAGGUUCUGCCAUCGAACACAGAAUGCCCUGAUCCUUAGAGGCAGAGGCAGCUCUUCAGCCUAUGGGAAAACUGUGGAUUUAGUUACUCCACUCUGCCAUGUCCUUCCACCACUGCCUGCACAUUUGAGACCAAGGAUAGAGAUUGGGAAAAAUCCAUAGUUCUCCUGACUCAGAGUUUGGCUCCGGCACUCUCAUUUCAGCCAUAGCUGCAGACAAAGCACACGACUGCUGGGCACUGUGGCUCAAGAGAAGGGGGAGAUGGAAGAAGAUGAGCCUUAAGUCUGAACACUGAGGAAUUCAUGUGCAUCAGUCAGACCUCCUGUGCAAGGAAGGAUGUGGUUACUACGGCAACCCUGCCUGGCAGGGUUUCUGCUCCAAGUGCUGGAGGGAAGAGUACCACAAAGCCAGGCAGAAGGAGAUUCAGGAGGACUGGGAGCUGGCGGAGCGACUCCAGUGGGAGGAAGAGGCCUUUGCCAGCAGUCAGAGCAGCCAAGGGGCCCAAUCCCUCACAUUCUCCAAGUUUGAAGGAAAGAAAACCAACGAGAAGACCCACGAGGUUACCACAGUGAAGAAAUCUUCAGUGCGUCUUCCAGGGUCGGAUCAAAGAAGGCAGAAAUUCAGGAAGCAAAAGCCAGUCCUUCCAUAAACCGGCGAACCAGCAUUGAAACGGAUAGAGUGUCUAAGGAGUUCAUAGAAUUUCUCAAGACCUUCCACAAGACAGGCCAAGAAAUCUAUAAACAGACCAAGCUGUUUUUGGAAGGGAUGCAUUACAAAAGGUGCCUCCAGAAAGGGUUGAGAAGAUAAUGGAUCAGAUUGAAAAGUACAUCAUGACUCAUCUCUGUAAAUAUGCGUUCUGUCCAGAACCCCAGUGAGCCUGGAAGACUGGGUGCUAUGGGAAAUGUCAUCAAUCCAAUGCUAGUGAAAGAUGUGACUGGGGAAUGCUGAAAAAUGCGCACCCCUGGGAGGAAUGAGGAAAGAUGACAUCCACUGACUUGUUAUUUUUUUGAGAAGGAGUCUUGCUCUGUUGCCCAGGCUGGAGUGUGGUGGCACGAUCUCGGCUCACUGAUGAUGAGAAGAAAGAUCUUGCCAUUCAAAAGAGGAUCAGAGUGGAAGCUUCUCUGUGGUGUCAGAAAGACGAGGAAUGUGGUGACCUCACCUAUCCAUCUCCCUCAAGGCAGCUUUUGUUUUUCUGCAGUGACCGUACUUGCAAUAAUUAAACAUAGUUGGUCAUUUAAAAUACAUCUCUGAUACUCUCGUCAAAGGUGGAGCCCAGUCCCUAUCGCCUUGAGUGAGGGCUGGGUUACGUGAUUCCCUUCUGACAGAUAGGAAAAAGCAAAAGUGAUGGCUUGCAACUUUGCAAACUACAUCAUAAAAGGUACUGUGGCUUCCUCCUUGCUCACUCUUUGAUUACUCACUUGGGAAAGCCAGCUGUCACACCAUGACACCUAAGCAGCCUGUAGAGAGGCUCAUGUAACAGGAACUGAGGCCUCCUGUCAGCAGUCACAUGAGGGAGCCAUCUUGGAAACAGGCUUUAGGUGACUGCAGUCUCAGUGGACAGCUUGAGUGCAAUGUCAUGAGACACCCUGAGCCCAAAUGACCCAGCUAUGCCACUCCUGAAUUCCUGACCCACAGAAAUGGAGAUCCUAACUUAAGUUCUUGGACUCACUGAGGCAGUAAAAGAACCAUAUCCUGUGUUUGAAUCAAAUCCCAAGUUCCUGUACGUAGAAGGUUUGCCAGACAGGAUUCCCUUUCGAAGCCCUCCUGGUUUGGAAUUCCAUGACUUGAAAGGAUCGUCCAUGGGAGUAAUAAAAUCAAAUUUGUUGGUAAAAAACCUGAACUGGUUAUUUCCUACUUGCCUCCUGGAGUUGCUAAUAAAAUAAACACUAAAGCUUCGCAGUUUCUAAAAAGACCAUGAAGCCCUGAGAGUAAUGAAAAGGUUCCUGAAAUUGAGGUCACUGUGGAAGGAGAAUCUAAUGCCUGAUGAUCUGUCACUAUCUCCCAUCACCCCCAGAUGGGACCAUCUAGUUGCAGGAAAAGAAGGUCAAGACUCCCAGUCAUUCUACAUUAUGCCUCAGCCAAGAUGUCUCACCCCACUCUCUCUGAUGCAACAAGAAGCCCCUGGAGAACGUUUCAGUCCCAUUUUGUACUUCUGUCAUGUGCUCAUCACAGUCUGGUGGAAUUUAAAUGACCUCUUAUCAAGAUGGAUAAACCCAAGUUUCCCAGUGCUGGAAUAUAGAAAAUGGAUGGACAAGUAAGUCCCACUCAGCACCCAUAGCCCAGACAUGGGGACCUCAACACACCUGGGCCCCAGACAUCACCUUUCAUUCCGAGGCAUAUGCCAUUCAAGCUAAGGGUGCUACACUUGACCACUGCGGCAGUAUAGAUGAGUCUGAAGAAUGGUAUGGGAUGGAUACUUACGAAUGCACUCGAGCAGGGGUCUCCAUCCACAGGGCCACAGAGCCAGAGGUGAGCAGCAGCUGGAUCUACCAUGAAAGACUUCAGAGUCCAGGAAGAGAGACUGAUUGGGCAACAUGUUAUUCAGUUACAAAAAGACUUGGACUAUGACUCAAAAAUGAUCAAAUAAUAGUGCAUGCAUCCAAUGCAAUAAGAAGCACUUCUGGAGGGUGAGAGAAGCAUCCAGUUAAGGUGACAUUGAAGCUGGGUCCUGAAAGAUGAGGAAGAAUUGUAUGAGAGUGGGCAGAGAAGGGGGAGGUGGAGGGAUGGGGAAUGGGCUGAGAUGGAGUGAGCUGCUCAAGCAGGGAAACCAGCACUGUAAAGACCUGGUCAAUAAAGAUGGCACAUUUUAUUCAGGGAAUGGUGAAUUAAUUGUGGCAGGAAUGCUUUGGAGAGAGAGUAAUUUGCUUGUAUGGAAUUUUGCCCAAGAGACCUCAUUACAGUUUCUAAUCUUUUGAUGUUAUCGUCUAUCACUGUCCUUGUCAGAUAGUUUGGAAUAGGUAUAAUGAUCACAAUAACAUCAAGCAUAAUAUUUCAUUAAUUCUCACAAAAUCACAGGUAGGUGCCACAGUUAUCCCCAUUUUGUGAAUGAAGUGAUGAAGACUUAGGAAUGAUGAGUGAUUGCCCAAGCUCACCUGGAUAUUAAGAGGUCUUGCUCUGUUGUCCAGGCUGGAAUGUGGUAGUGCUAU
rnacentral:lncRNA from 1 species